rnacentral:ncRNA from 1 species
CAUAUUUAUGUCUAGGAACGUUUUACAUCUAAAAUGUAGGUGGCUUUUUAAGUAUACUGUCAAAUCCCAGGGCUCAACCUAGACAGGCGAAACUGCCAAGUUGGAGUACGAUAGAGGCAGAAGAAAUUUUCAGUGGAGCGGUGAAAUGCAUAGAAAUUGGAAUAAAUACCAACGGCAAAAGCACUCUGGUGGGUUGACACUAACACUGAGAGAUGAAAGCUAGGGGAGUGAAUGAGAUUAGAUACUCUAGUAGUCAUAGCCGUAAACGAUGGAUACUAGGCAAUGUGCAUAUCGACUCGUGUAGUGUUGUAGCUAACGCGUUAAGUAUCCUGACUAGGGAGUACAUUCGCAAGAAUGAAACUCAAAGGAAUUGACGAGGACCCGCACAAGCAGUGAGUUUUGCUUCUGGCAACGAUAUGUUAUGGGGUGGUAGUCUUUAUAGGGUUAAAUCAAUACAUUUUAAGAAGAAAUUUUUGAAUGUAUCUCCAACUCC